UACGUAGGGACCAAGCGUUGUUCGGAUUUACUGGGCGUAAAGGGCGCGUAGGCGGCGUGUUAAGUCAGCUGUGAAAUCUCCAAGCUUAACUUGGAACGGUCAGCUGAUACUGAUGUGCUAGAGUGCAGAAGGGGCAAUCGGAAUUCUUGGUGUAGCGGUGAAAUGCGUAGAUAUCAAGAGGAACACCUGAGGUGAAGACGGGUUGCUGGGCUGACACUGACGCUGAGGCGCGAAAGCGUGGGGAGCAAACAGG
rnacentral:rRNA from 1 species